rnacentral:rRNA from 1 species
UACAGGGGGUGCAAACGUUGCUCGGAAUCAUUGGGCGUAAAGCGCACGUAGGCGGUCUGUUAUGUCGGAUGUGAAAGCCCUUGGCUCAACUGAGGAAGUGCAUCCGAAACUGGCAGGCUAGAGUACUAAAGAGGAUCGCGGAAUUCCCGGUGUAGAGGUGAAAUUCGUAGAUAUCGGGAGGAACACCGGUGGCGAAGGCGGCGAUCUGGGUAGAUACUGACGCUGAGGUGCGAAAGCGUGGGGAGCAA